UACGUAGGGUGCAAGUGUUAAUCGGAAUUACUGGGCGUAAAGCGUGCGCAGGCGGUUUUGUAAGUUUGUCGUGAAAUCCCCGGGCUCAACCUGGGAAUGGCGAUGAAGACUGCAAGGCUAGAAUCUGGCAGAGGGGGGGUAGAAUUCCACGUGUAGCAGUGAAAUGCGUAGAGAUGUGGAGGAACACCGAUGGCGAAGGCAGCCCCC
rnacentral:rRNA from 1 species